rnacentral:rRNA from 1 species
CCGCACGGGUGAGUAACACGUAUCCAACCUGCCGUCUACUCUUGGCCAGCCUUCUGAAAGGAAGAUUAUUCCAGGAUGGCAUCAUGAGUUCACAUGUCCGCAUGAUUAAAGGUAUUUUCCGGUAGACGAUGGGGAUGCGUUCCAUUAGAUAGUAGGCGGGGUAACGGCCCACCUAGUCAACGAUGGAUAGGGGUUCUGAGAGGAAGGUCCCCCACAUUGGAACUGAGACACGGUCCAA